rnacentral:rRNA from 1 species
CCAGACUCCUACGGGAGGCAGCAGUGAGGAAUAUUGGUCAAUGGCCGGAAGGCUGAACCAGCCAAGUCGCGUGAGGGAAUAAGGCCCUAUGGGUCGUAAACCUCUUUUGUCAGGGAGCAAAGGCGUCCACGUGUGGACGAGAGGAGAGUACCUGAAGAAAAAGCAUCGGCUAACUCCGUGCCAGCAGCCGCGGUAAUACGUAGGGGGCAAGCGUUAUCCGGAUUUACUGGGUGUAAAGGGAGCGUAGACGGCGAAGCAAGUCUGAAGUGAAAACCCAGGGCUCAACCCUGGGACUGCUUUGGAAACUGUUUUGCUAGAGUGUCGGAGAGGUAAGUGGAAUUCCUAGUGUAGCGGUGAAAUGCGUAGAUAUGUGGAAGAACACCGAUGGCGAAGGCAGCCUCCUGGGACGCAACUGACGCUCAUACACGAAAGCGUGGGGAGCAAACAGGAUUAGAUACCCGUGUACA